AUUGAACGCUGGCGGCAUGCCUUACACAUGCAAGUCGAACGGCAGCACGGGGCAACCUGGUGGCGAGUGGCGAACGGGUGAGUAAUGCAUCGGAACGUACCUUUCAGUGGGGGAUAACGUAGCGAAAGUUACGCUAAUACCGCAUAUUCUGUGAGCAGGAAAGCAGGGGAUCGCAAAACCUUGCGCUGAUUGAGCGGCCGAUGUAAGAUUAGCUAGUUGGUGAGGUAAGGGCUCACCAAGGCGACGAUCUGUAGCGGGUCUGAGAGGAUGAUCCGCCACACUGGAACUGAGACACGGUCCAGACUCCUACGGGAGGCAGCAGUGGGGAAUUUUGGACAAUGGGGGCAACCCUGAUCCAGCCAUGCCGCGUGAGUGAAGAAGGCCUUCGGGUUGUAAAGCUCUUUCGGCCGGGAAGAAAUCGCACGGGCUAAUACCCUGUGUGGAUGACGGUACCGGAAUAAGAAGCACCGGCUAACUACGUGCCAGCCGCCGCGGUAA
rnacentral:rRNA from 1 species